GCCGGGCAUGGUAACGCAUGCCUGUAAUUCCAGCUACUUGGAAGGCUGAGUCGGAAGGAUCACUGGAGUCCAGCAGGUCGAGGCUGCGGUGGCCGGGAGUGGCCACUGCACUCCAGUCUGGGCGACAGAGUGAGACUCCAACUCAA
rfam:Tarsius syrichta, whole genome shotgun sequence